AAAAACAUAAACCAAAAGCGAUAGUGCAUCCCUAAGGGAAUGAUGGAUAUUAGUGUCCGCAUCAAAGACAGAAAUUUCAGGAAUGAUGGCUCCUAUCAUAUCCACAUUUAAUUUACUUGUUUGGCCUAUGCAGGACUUGAUUUUUAGCUGUUAUUUUAGAUAUAAUCUCUUUAUGAAGCAAAUCAACACCUGCCCCGGCCCCUACAGUCGUGCAACUGAAUAUGAGUACUGACCUGGAAUAUGCUUUUUUCUCUAGCCCAAAUAGCAGAAAACAUCAAAAACAGAUUACUUUCACCUGUCAGGGUCAACAGUACAUUACACUGUCCUGCAUCUGGGUUAUAUCACCCUUGCAGCUCUGUUGCAGUCUAAUCUGCAGGCACUUUAAUCAUCUCACAUCUCCCAGAACAUUGUUCUACAUGUCUGGAAUCUUGCAAGCAAGAAGUAGCAGGUAUCCAAAUGCCCUGGUAAAACAUGUGUUCUAAGGAUAGGAGAUAAUCCCUGUGGAAAUUAAGAGAAUGUCUACCUCCGUGAUUUGGGUCACCCCACCAGAUAAAGAACUUAAUCCAGUUCAUAUACUGGCUGAGGAAGAAGGAUCAUGGACUGGAUGGUGGAGAAAGAAAUAUAUAUAAAUAGAAACAACUAACUCAUGAAAAGCUGAGAAACGGGCACUAUAUUAGCAUUUCAUAUUUUCUUCCUUGCUCUAUUGUGUUAAUUUAUAGAUAUUAACUCAUUUUCCCCUCCCAUAUUUUCCCUAGUAUAAUGAAAUGUAUUACUGUUGGUAACUUGUUAAUUUAGUGUUUAGAUUAUAUGCUGUUAUGGUAGAAUUGUAACUGAACUAGAAUGAUAAUCACCCAGGGUGGAUCAGCUAGCUAUGUGACUGAUGGGAUUUGGGGUCUCUUAUUUUAAGGAGCGGAUUUAGGUCCCUAAAAGUCCAAAAAGAUAGACUGUGUAGACAUGGUGAACUGACUUUCAACAUCCAUUCCAAACACUUCCUCAUACUGCAGAGGCUGCAAAGAUAAAAACUAUUUCCCAGACUCCCAUGCAGCUAACAUUCCGCAUACAAGUUGGAGUCUACCCCAUCAAUGGAUGAAAAAAUAAAGAAAAUGUAUUUAUAAAUGAUGGAAUACUAUUCAGCCUUGAAAAAGAAAGAAAUUCUGUUAUUUGCAACAACAUGGAUGGAGCUGGAGAACAUUAUGCUAAGUGAAAUAAGCCAGGCACAGACUAAUACCACGUUACCACUUGCAUGUAGAAUCUAAAACAAUUGAAUCCAUAGAAACAAAGUAGAAUGGUGGUUACCAGAGGCUGAGGGCUGAGGGGAAUAGGGAAAAUGAUGGUCAAAGGGUACAAGACCUCAGGAGGAAUACGUUUGUUUGUUUGUUUGUUUGUUUGUUUGUUUUGAGAUCUAUUGCACAGCAUGGUGAAUAUAGUUAAUAAUAGUUGAUAGAGUUUGGAUAUUUGUGCCCAUAUAAAUCUCAGGUUGAAUUGUAAUCCCCAGUGCUGGAGAUGGGGCCUGGUGGGAAGUGAUUGGAUCAUGGGGUGGAUCUUUCACGGAUUGAUGCUGUCCUCACAAUAGUGAGUCUAGAGAUCUGGUUGACUGAAAGUGUGUGGCACCUCCCCCACCUCUCUAUUUCUCUGGCUUUCACCAGUAUUAAGUGCUCUGCCUUCCACCAUGAAUAAAAGCUUCCUGAGGCCUCCCCAGAAGCCAAGCAGAUGCCAGGUACCAUGCUUGCACAGCCUACAGAACCAUGAGCCAAUUAAACCUGUUUUCUUUAUAAAUUAUCCAGUCUCAGGUAUUCCUUUAUAGUAAUUUGAGAAUGGCCUAAUACAAUAGUAUAUGAUUGUACAUUUCAAAUGUACAUCAUUUGAAGAGUAAAUUUCAAAUGUUCUUGUGAUACCGUAACUUGUAUUAAGUUGAUUGACUCUCUCUUAGCUGAGAAAGCGAGAUGGACUCCAUUUGGCUCCUUCCUUUGCAAGACAUCAAGGGCUCCUUACCCACCCCCUUCCUCAAGGACUUGUGCAAGCUGACUCUCAGCAUAUCAAAGAGUGCAAUUAACUGAUAAGGUACUGUGGCAAGCUAUGUCCGCGAUUCCCAGGAAUUCGCCCAGGUGAUGGUACCCUAAAGCCCCUGCAUUUGUGUCCAGCAGAUAGCACCCAGAGCCCCCGCACCUAUCAGCUUGUGAUGAAUUUAAAACCCCUGCACCUGGAACUGUUUGUUUUCCUGUAACCAUUUGUCUUUUUAACUUUUUUUUUUUUUUUUUUUUUUUUUUUUGCCUGUUUUACUUCUGUAAGAUUGCUACAGCUAGGCUCCCCGUCCCCUCUCUAAACCAAAGUGUAAAAGAAAAUCUAGCCCCUUCUUCGGGGCCGAGAGAAUUUUGAGCUCUAGCCAUCUCUCGGUCGCCAUGUAAUAAAAGACUC
rnacentral:lncRNA from 10 species